CCUCGCUCCGACGGCUCCGUCCACUUUCCGGAGACGGAGCUGUAUCGUGUACAGGCUAGAUGGAGAAAUCUGGUCACCUUACCGAAAGAUCCCCCAUAGUUCAACUGCUGUAAAUGUUUUGCAGCUGAAGCCAUAAGACAGAAUACAAGAGGGACACGAUAAGCAAGGUUUGGUUUUAGCAACAUGUUCAACAUUUCAUAAAGUCAAUGCGCUCAUCAAUGUCAAGCGAGACAGCUCAUGCUCGUGAGAGAGAUGGAGCGUGGAAAUGGACAGAAGUGUGAACGCAUAUAAAGACUCUUUGAUCAAGAAUCCAGAUGUUUUGUGGUUUCUGAUCUACACUGGACACUGGAGUCCCUACUAACUACUGAUCCCUUAAAAUAAAGUAUUUUUGACACUUUGAGGGCAGCUUGAUAAUUAACUUGUUGGCAUAAGUUAAAACCUAUUCUUACUUUAGGGGCUCCGUAGUUAACAGUGUCAGAGAUCCGUAUGAAACGUCUGUAUCCUCACUGUGCUGCACUUUAAUAAACUGUGAUGAAGGUCA